CAGGAUAAGGACUGUGUGGGCGAAGAGAAGCUUGGAGCUGAAGAAAGGGGCCGGCUCUAACCACCACUGCACCACCUGGAACCCACAAGGUGCAAAGAAGAGAAGGCCAGCCAACUGCGGCCACAGGAGAUUUUCUGUAUCUUGAUCAUGGUGAUGGUUACAUGGGUGUAUAUCCAUUUAUCGAGACUCUUCACCCUGGAUACUUUAAACAGGGCACCUAAAUGGCUCAGUCGGUUAAGUGUCUACCUCUGGGGAAA